CAGUUCCCCCAAAGUAAAGUGCCUUCUAUUUGCAGGGCAUGGAAAAGGAGGAAAAGUGCUGGGGAUGAAGGCUCACAGUUCAACCAAAGUAAAGUUCCUUCUACGUGCCGGCAUAGGAUAGGAGAAAAAGGGUUGGUGAUGGUGUCGGAGGACCUGGUUAAACCCCACCUCUGAAGCAAGUCACCUGGUAUAGGUGCGGCUCACUUUGCUCGUGUGUAAGAAAAAGGAAUUGAACUAAGUGGCUUCUGAGGUCUCCUACAGCUCUAGAUUGAGAAGAAUAUGACGUGAAGCAGGCGGAAACAGUCUUUACAAUAACAAUGUGUUAAGAAAGAAAAAGGAAAUUUGUUGGACUUGGCUGCCAUUGGACUUGAGCUGGCCACUGACCACUUCUGAGAGCUUAGAACAACAAUUUCACUGCUCUGGUAUGCUUUUUAACUUGCAACUUUAAUGGCCUUCCUGGUCCUUCUUAGCUCUGGAUCUCGGAUGCUCUGAAAAAAGAUUGAGUCAUCAGGAGGAGAGCUAGGUGAGAGUAUGCUGGGGCCAGCUUGCACUGGCCCAGGAAGCUGAGAGUUAAAUUAUUAGUUGAUCCAAGACAGUUCCAGAGAGCUCAUGAUGAAAAAUUCUAUCCAUCUCCAGAAGAAAAAAAACUGAUGAAGUCUGAAUGCAAAUUGAUGCACACUAUUUUCACUUUAUUUUUUUGUGGUUUUUUGGGGGGGAGGGGGGGUUUCUGGUAUGUGUCUCUUUUUAUAACAUAACCAAUAUGGAAAUAUAUUUUGCAUAACUGCACAUCUAAAACCUAUAUAAAAUUGCUUGGGGAGGAGAGAAGGGAAUGAAACAAUUUGGAACUCAACUUUUUUUUUUUUUAAAUGAAAGUUUAAAGUUAUUUUUAAAUGUAAUUGAAGGAAAACUAUAAUAUUACUAUGUCCUCAAAAAAAAAAAACACACAUAUGUUUCUUGAAUUGAAGUGAAGUGAUUUCAGAAGAAGUUGCCAGAAAUAAAUAUGAAAUAUUUUUCCUCAGAUAUUUUAAAGAAUAUGCCCUUGAACAUUUGGGUCUGAGAUAAUUUAGAUGCAAUUCUCUUUCUCAGGGGAUGAAUAAAAUGACCAAGUUGCAUGUAA